CCAUAGUACCCCGAAAGUGCCUGAUCUUGUCUGAUCUCAGAAGCUAAGCAAGGCUGGGCCUGUUUAGUACUUGGAUGGGACAUGACUCCUGUGCUCAAGUG
rnacentral:rRNA from 1 species